GAUGAACGCUGGCGGCGUGCCUAAUACAUGCAAGUCGAACGAAACUUCUUUAUCACCGAGUGCUUGCACUCACCGAUAAAGAGUUGAGUGGCGAACGGGUGAGUAACACGUGGGCAACCUGCCCAAAAGAGGGGGAUAACACUUGGAAACAGGUGCUAAUACCGCAUAACCAUAGUUACCGCAUGGUAACUAUGUAAAAGGUGGCUAUACUACCGCUUUUGGAUGGGCCCGCGGCGCAUUAGCUAGUUGGUAGGGUAAAGGCUUACCAAGGCAAUGAUGCGUAGCCGAAUUGAGAGGUUGAUCGGCCACAUUGGGACUGAGACACGGCCCAAACUCCUACGGGAGGCAGCAGUAGGUAAUCUUCCACAAUGGGCGAAAGCCUGAUGGAGCAACGCCGCGUGGGUGAAGAAGGUCUUCGGAUCGUAAAACCCUGUUGUUAGAGAAGAAAGUGCGUGAGAGUAACUGUUCACGUUUCGACGGUAUCUAACCAGAAAGCCACGGCUAACUACGUG
rnacentral:rRNA from 1 species